GGGUCAAGCCGGGGACUCUAGUGGGACUGCCGUUGUCAAAACGGAGGAAGGUGGGGAUGACGUCAAGUCAUCAUGGCCCUUACGGCUGGGGCUACACACGUGCUACAAUGGUGCGGGACAGAGGGUUGCGAACCUGCAAGGCGAAGCAAAUCCCAGAAACCCGUCCCCAGUUCGGAUUGUCGGCUGCAACUCGCCGGCAUGAAGUUGGAAUCGCUAGUAAUCGCGGAUCAGCUACGCCGCGGUGAAUAUGUUCCUGAGCCUUGUACACACCGCCCGUCAAGUCAUGAAAGCUGAGUGCGCCCGAAGUCGUUUGCCCAACCGUAAGGAGGGCGGCGCCGAAGGCGACCUCGGUGAUUGGGACUAAGUCGUAACAAGGUAGCCGUAGGGGAACCUGCGGCUGGAUCACCUCCUUUCUAAGGA
rnacentral:rRNA from 1 species